CCGAGAAAUUUGACCGGAGUGAGAUGGUUGGGCAGGCAGGUGAAUAAAUAAAGACUGACAGAACCAGAGAAGGAGAGAGAAACUUAAGCAAAAUCAGAGCAUAUCAGAGAGAGAGAGAAAGCGACAUAAGGAAGAAGGUAAUCUUUUCUCACUGAGAAAAAACGUCUGCUGAAUUUUUUUUUUGUUCAUUGUUAGCGUUGUUUCUUCGUCUGUUGUUUUCUGUGAAAAUUGAUAUUUUCUAUGGUGUUUGUAUUGAGAUUUGCGUCUUUCUGAGUCAGUAGUGGUGUAG
rnacentral:lncRNA from 1 species